rnacentral:rRNA from 1 species
GACGGGGGGGGCAAGUGUUCUUCGGAAUGACUGGGCGUAAAGGGCACGUAGGCGGUGAAUCGGGUUGAAAGUGAAAGUCGCCAAAAAGUGGCGGAAUGCUCUCGAAACCAAUUCACUUGAGUGAGACAGAGGAGAGUGGAAUUUCGUGUGUAGGGGUGAAAUCCGUAAAUAUACGAAGGAAACGCCAAAAGCGAAGGACAGCUCUCUGGGUCCCUACCCGACGCUGGGGUGCGAAAGCAUGGGGAGCAAACAGGAUUAG